rnacentral:rRNA from 1 species
CGUUCCCGGGCCUUAUACACACCGCCCGUCACACCAUGGGAGCGGGUUUUACCAGAAGUAGCUAGGCUAACCGCAAGGAGGCCGGUUACCACGGUAGGAUUCGUGACUGGGGUG